GACAAACGCUGGCGGCGUGCUUAACACAUGCAAGUCGAACGAUGUAGCCGAGCUUGCUCGGUGGAUUAGUGGCGAACGGGUGAGUAACACGUGAGCAACCUGCCCCUAACUCUGGGAUAACGCUUCGAAAGGAGUGCUAAUACCGGAUAUGAGCCUGGAAGACAUCUUCUGGGUUGGAAAGUUUUUCGGUUAGGGAUGGGCUCGCGGCCUAUCAGCUUGUUGGUGAGGUAAAGGCUCACCAAGGCGACGACGGGUAUCCGGCCUGAGAGGGCGACCGGACACACUGGGACUGAGACACGGCCCAGACUCCUACGGGAGGCAGCAGUGGGGAAUAUUGCGCAAUGGGCGAAAGCCUGACGCAGCGACGCCGCGUGAGGGAUGAAGGUCUUCGGAUUGUAAACCUCUUUCAGCAGGGACGAAGCGAAAGUGACGGUACCUGAAGAAGAAGCACCGGCUAACUACGUG
rnacentral:rRNA from 1 species